rnacentral:rRNA from 1 species
GCACGAAGCGGUGGAUGAUGUGGAUUAAUUCGAUGCAACGCGAAAACCUUACCUACCCUUGACAUGUCCGGAAUCCCGAAGAGAUUUGGGAGUGCUCGCAAGAGAACCGGAACACGAGGUGCUGCAUGGCUGUCGUCAGCUCGUGUCGUGAGAUGUUGGGUUAAGUCCCCGCAACGAGCGCAACCCUUGUCAUUAGUUGCCAUCAUUUGGUUGGGCACUCUAAUGAGACUGCCGGUGACAAACCGGAGGAAGGUGGGGAUGACGUCAAGUCCUCAUGGCCCUUAUGGGUAGGGCUUCACACGUCAUACAAUGGUCGGUACAGAGGGUUGCCAACCCGCGAGGGGGAGCUAAUCCCACAAAGCCGUCCACAGUUCGGAUUGGAGUCUGCAACUCGACUCCAUGAAGCCGGAAUCGCUAGUAAUCGUGGAUCAGCAUGCCACGGUGAAUACGUUCCCGGGUCUU